CUCAUAUUUGGAGAAACACACAGCAGAAAGGCAUGGUGGCCGGCAGCAGCCUUGCUGGAGGACUACCUGAGCAGAGGAAGAAAUUAGAAGGGGGUGGGAGCCUUGCCUAAGAAUUUGUUCCAGUCCGAGGUAAAGAGAAGUAUCUGCUUCAAGUCUUGAGCCAAGCCUUUGUAUAGCUAAAGCUGCCCCAGCAUCCUGCCACCCCUACACCUCUUUUAGUAGCCCUUCUGAACACUUCAGAGAGAAAGACUCCAGGAAUCUGCCGCGUGGCUGACAGGCUCUUGGUGCUCCGGCCGGGUGUCAGGCCUGAGCCUCUGAGGUGGGAGAGCCGAGUUCAGGACAUUGGUCCACCAGAGACCUCCCGGCUCCACGUAAUAUCAA